rnacentral:rRNA from 1 species
UUGUUCGCAAUGGGCGCAAGCCUGACGACGCAACGCCGCGUGGAGGACGAAGAUCUUCGGGUCGUAAACUCCUGUCGAGCGGGAAGAACGCUUCCCGGGUGAACAGCCCGGGAAAUUGACGGUACCGCUAAAGGAAGCCCCGGCUAACUCCGUGCCAGCAGCCGCGGUAAUACGGGGGGGGCAAGCGUUGUUCGGAAUUACUGGGCGUAAAGGGCUCGUAGGCGGCCAACUAAGUCGGAUGUGAAAUCCCCAGGCUCAACCUGGGAACUGCAUCCGAUACUGGAUGGCUUGAAUCCGGGAGAGGGAUGCAGAAUUCCAGGUGUAGCGGUGAAAUGCGUAGAUAUCUGGAGGAAUACCGGUGGCGAAGGCGGCAUCCUGGACCGGCAUUGACGCUGAGGAGCGAAAGCUAGGGGAGCAAACGGG